GACGAACGCUGGCGGCGUGCUUAACACAUGCAAGUCGAACGGAAAGGCCCUGCUUUUGUGGGGUGCUCGAGUGGCGAACGGGUGAGUAACACGUGAGUAACCUGCCCUUGACUUUGUGAUAACUUCAGGAAACUGGGGCUAAUACCGGAUAGGAGCUCCUGCUGCAUGGUGGGGGUUGGAAAGUUUCGGCGGUUGGGGAUGGACUCGCGGCUUAUCGGCUUGUUGGUGGGGUAGUGGCUUACCAAGGCUUUGACGGGUAGCCGGCCUGAGAGGGUGACCGGCCACAUUGGGACUGAGAUACGGCCCAGACUCCUACGGGAGGCAGCAGUGGGGAAUAUUGCACAAUGGGCGGAAGCCUGAUGCAGCAACGCCGCGUGCGGGAUGACGGCCUUCGGGUUGUAAACCGCUUUCGCCUGUGACGAAGCGUGAGUGACGGUAAUGGGUAAAGAAGCACCGGCUAACUACGUG
rnacentral:rRNA from 1 species